rnacentral:ncRNA from 1 species
GUUCUCGGGGCGGGGUGCAACUCCCCACCGGCGGUGAUAGCCCGCGAGCGGCCUCUCGAUCGAGAGGUGUCAGCAGAUCCGGUGUAAUUCCGGGGCCGACGGUAAUAGUCCGGAUGUGAGAGAACG